UAAUCACCUGAUCGAGCUGAUUCACAAACAGUCAGCCAGAAGGUAGCAGGACACAGUCAAUGAGAACUUCUGAAAGUUAAAACUUGUACUUUGAACCCUGGACAUAAAGCUGGACCUUUUCUUUACCUGAGACUUCAAGCCCUUGGUGAGCUGAUGUGCUGCUGCUGCUGUGGAGGAUGUGUUUCAAGACUUUGAACACUGGUGACACAUCUGAAGAUGAAGAUGAAGAUGAAGAUGAAGAUCUAAAGGAACAGCCUCAAAGGCAACUGGACCUUGAUUCACAGCGAUUCCCUGAAAAAGCAGGCCUCAAGCCUGGCUGGAUGGAGUUGUAGGAUUUCCCCUACCUAAAUAAAACACUGACUUCCUCAGACAUUCAGCACACAUAUAACUACAGUAAAAGUAAUGUGUGUGGUGCACGGACUUAUUUGGGAUGUAAUUGCUUUAAUGGUAAUGUUAAGUGUAUAAAUUAUUGUAUGGAGGGUAAAAGGUGCCCGUAAAAAAAAGAUUGUAUUUUGAAUAGAAGGCCUGUUUUUGUGAAAAAUAGAAAAUUGUAAUACAAAACCGGUAACCAUG